rnacentral:rRNA from 1 species
UACGAAGGGGACUAGCGUUGUUCGGAAUCACUGGGCGUAAAGCGCACGUAGGCGGAUUCGUAAGUCAGGGGUGAAAUCCUGGAGCUCAACUCCAGAACUGCCUUCGAUACUGGGAAGCUCGAGUCCGGGAGAGGUGAGUGGAACUGCGAGUGUAGAGGUGAAAUUCGUAGAUAUUCGCAAGAACACCAGUGGCGAAGGCGGCUCACUGGCCCGGUACUGACGCUGAGGUGCGAAAGCGUGGGGAGCAAACAGG